AUUGAACGCUGGCGGAAUGCUUUACACAUGCAAGUCGAGCGGCAGCGCGGGGCAACCUGGCGGCGAGCGGCGAACGGGUGAGUAAUGCAUCGGAACGUACCCAGUCGUGGGGGAUAACUGUCCGAAAGGACAGCUAAUACCGCAUACGUCCUGAGGGAGAAAGCGGGGGAGUCGCAAGACCUCGCGCGAUUGGAGCGGCCGAUGCCGGAUUAGCUAGUUGGUAGGGUAAAGGCCUACCAAGGCGACGAUCCGUAGCUGGUCUGAGAGGACGACCAGCCACACUGGAACUGAGACACGGUCCAGACUCCUACGGGAGGCAGCAGUGGGGAAUUUUGGACAAUGGGGGCAACCCUGAUCCAGCCAUUCCGCGUGAGUGAAGAAGGCCU
rnacentral:rRNA from 1 species